rnacentral:lncRNA from 1 species
GUCCCAUAUCUUCAUUAUCUCCAACUCAAAGUGAAGGAGAACCGGCCCCUCCGAUCACCGUUGGAUCUCCCUCUUUUCCUGCAAGAACAGCCGGGGAAGAAUCUCCGGCCUCUGUCCAAGCCUAUCAGCAGCCUGCCUCGGCAUCUAGCUCCAGCAUUCUUUUGGUCAAUGAUCGAGGGAAUUCCUCGAACACUAGGUACUUACUAUUCUCUAACUCGAUUCUCCUCGCUUUUUCAUUUAUUAGGCAGUUAGAACACAUUUUCAGCCUUUUUUUCUGUAAAAGUAUCAUGGAGGCCCUUGUACUAGGAUUCACAUUGGAUUUUGCUCCCUCAACUCAAAAAAUGGGCAAAUUAGUCCUUAUUUGUUAAAUCAAAGAGUAAAUUUGUCAUUUUGUUAAAAAUUUCAUUCACUUCUACUAUUAAAAACUGGUCCUUGUACGUCGGCAUGAAGUACAUGUGACACGCCACUUGUCACUGUUUGGUUAUUUUGUUAGUCAUGCUAGUUUUUAACAAUAGAAAUGGAUGAAAGUUUUAGCAGAAAGGAUCAGUUUUUUCUUUGAUCUAAUGUAUAGGGAUUAAGUUGCCCUUUUUUAGGUAAAGAAGCAAAAUGCAAUAUGAUACCUAGUACAAGGGUCUCUAUGAUAUUUUUACCUUCUUUAUCACAAUAACAUCUUCUAUUUUACAGGACGUCGCCUAAUAGUCAAGAUAGAGCCGGACCUUCAGAAUUCCAAUCAUUUUCCGAAUCGCUAAAGUCACGGUUCAAUGCCGUUUCAACGAG